GCGGCAGGCUUAACACAUGCAAGUCGAGCGAGGACUUCGGUCCUAGCGGCGGACGGGUGAGUAACGCGUGGGAACGUGCCCUUCUCUCUGGAAUAGCCCUGGGAAACUGGGAGUAAUGCCGGAUACGCCGGAUCAUGGCGACAUGGUUUGGGAAAGAUUUAUCGGGGAAGGAUCGGCCCGCGUUGGAUUAGGUAGUUGGUGGGGUAAUG
rnacentral:rRNA from 1 species